ACGCUGGCGGCACGCCUAAUACAUGCAAGUCGAACGAAGUAGCAAUACUUAGUGGCAGACGGGUGAGUAACAUGUAGGUAUCUUCCCAUUGGUGAGGAAUAACACGAGGAAACUUGUGCUAAUACCUCAUAAGUCUUUACGGAGAAAGCUUUAUGCGCCGAUGGAUGAGCCUGCACUUGAUUAGUUUGUUGGUAGGGUAAUGGCCUACCAAGACAAUGAUCAAUAGCUGAUUUGAGAGGAUGAUCAGCCACAUUGGGACUGAGACACGGCCCAAACUCCUACGGGAGGCAGCAGUAGGGAAUCUUGCACAAUGGGGGAAACCCUGAUGCAGCGAUGCCGCGUGAGUGAAGAAGGCCUUUGGGUUGUAAAGCUCUUUCGUCGGGGAAGAAAAUGACUGUACCCGAAUAAGAAGGUCCGGCUAACUUCGUGCCAGCAGCCGCGGUAAUACGAAGGGACCUAGCGUAGUUCGGAAUUACUGGGCUUAAAGAGUUCGUAGGUGGUUAAAAAAGUUGGUGGUGAAAUCCCAGAGCUUAACUCUGGAACUGCCAUCAAAACUUUUUAGCUAGAGUAUGAUAGAGGAAAGCAGAAUUUCUAGUGUAGAGGUGAAAUUCGUAGAUAUUAGAAAGAAUACCGAUUGCGAAGGCAGCUUUCUGGAUCAUUACUGACACUGAGGAACGAAAGCAUGGGGUAGCGAAGAGGAUUAGAUACCCUCGUAGUCCAUGCCGUAAACGAUGUGUGUUAGACGUUGGAAAUUUAUUUUCUGUGUCGCAGCGAAAGCAAUAAACACACCGCCUGGGGAGUACGACCGCAAGGUUAAAACUCAAAUGAAUUGACGGGGACCCGCACAAGUAGUAGAGCAUGUGGUUUAAUUCGAAGAUACGCGCAGAACCUUACCAACACUUGACAUGUUCGUCGCGACUUUAAGAGAUUAAAGUUUUCGGUUCGGCCGGACGAAACACAGGUGCUGCAUGGCUGUCGUCAGCUCGUGUCGUGAGAUGUUGGGUUAAGUCCCGCAACGAGCGCAACCCUCACUUUUAGUUGCCAUCAUUUAGUUGGGCACUCUGAAAGAACUGCCAGUGAUAAGCUGGAGGAAGGUGGGGAUGACGUCAAGUCCUCAUGGCCCUUACGUGUUGGGCUACACACGUGCUACAAUGGCAUUUACAAUAGGAAGCAAGACGGCGACGUUAAGCAAAUCCUAAAAAAAUGCCUCAGUUCGGAUUGUACUCUGCAACUCGAGUACAUGAAGCUGGAAUUACUAGUAAUCGCGGAUCAGCGCGCCGCGGUGAAUACGUUCCCGGGUCUUGUACACACCGCCCGUCACACCAUGGGAGUUGGUUCUACCUUAAGGCAAAGUUUAAUACCUUUGACCACGGUAUAGUCAGCGACUGGGGU
rnacentral:rRNA from 1 species